rnacentral:lncRNA from 1 species
AUUGGAAAGGUGUCUUGCUUUACUUUUUGAGGUCCUGAAGAGAGAGAGGUGAUAUACUGCAAGCAGUGCUCUAUGGCAAAAGCAGAUCUGGAGAGCAAAGCAGUUCUUGCUGAGAGACAAACUUCCAUUCUUCCACAAUGCAAACAUAAGAAUGAUAAGACAAGAAAACUGGGAAAUUUGUUGCAACAGUGUAUGCCUCACGUGAGCUAACAUUCCUGUUUGAAGACCCUCAUAAGCAAUCCCAAAAAAAUGGCAUACUUUACCUAGCACUCUGGUGGUUUCACCUUGAUGUGCAGAUAUUGUCUCUGUUCUAAACCAGAGACCUCAGAUCCUUAAAUUUAGCUGUGGUUAUUCUGGUCUAAUAACUCUGGCCUAAUACAUCCUGCGUUCUGGACAAGCUUCAGGAAUAUAUUUAUCUGAAUAUUCCAUGAGCUCCACCAUGCCCAUUGUGAGCUGUUACGAUGCAUCCUAUUUUUUAAGUUGUUACUGACAAAAGACACAUCUAAAUUUGUACUUCCUGAGACUGAAUGAACAAUAUACAUAUUCUCAGCUCUAUCUUGCCCUUUUUACAUUUCAUUUCAAUGAUAAGCAGUCAGAGUUGUCAAUGUAAAUAUACAAAUAAUUGUAGAUGAUAUUACUAUUAUUAUUAUUUUAUUUUGUGAGAUUCUGGGGUAUGUGAUCACAUAGUUAGGAAACUUUAUUCACAUAGUCAAAUGUCUUUCAACUGUAUGCAUCAAUAUCAGCACAAUUAUGGGCACAGAAAAGAAGAAGUGAAAGACUGGAAAAGGAAUCUGAAUGAAGUUCAGUGGCUUUGUUUUUCUUCCCUUUUCUCUCCCCUGCACGUGUUCAUCCACACAGAUGACUCACCAGUUAUUAAUACCAUAUUUAGUGAAGAUGACCAGAAAGCUAGUGGAGGAAUACAGACUUCUUUGUUUGAAGAAAGAAACCUUAAGAAGAUGUAGUUCCAUGCAUCUCAUGAAUAAACAAUUCGAAAAGUUAUUGAAGCAUCUGAAGUGGCCAUCACAUUCUGGACAGACUUUAGGUCCAGGUGAUCACUGGAGAAUAGAUACUUCUACCUGUCUUCUCUCCAGCAGCAUAGCGGCCCAAAUGGAGAAGAUUCAUCCUGCCUUCCCUCCAACAUCCACAUUGUUUGAGCGAUACUGGAUGGAAUUCAGUACAGUCACUUUGGAUCUCAGACAUGAAAGAUCCCUGGGAUUCACUGGCAUAUGGAUGGAAAGCUAAUAGAAAUCUCUGUUAAUACAGUCAUAGGAAAGGAGUCCCUAUGAAAAACUUGGUGACAUUUUACCACUGAAACCAAAAUGGUAAUGAAAUUACUAAAUUUAGUUCAGCCAUAGCUGUUGAGCUGUGUAU